rnacentral:lncRNA from 1 species
GAUACUCUAGAUAGGAUUAUUCUGAAACCAUAGGAAAAUCUGAUAAGAGACUGAAACUGUAGCUAGACUUCAAUUCUGCGAAAACAAACUUUGAAUUACUGUCUGAUUCAUAAAACAUCUGUAAUAAACACUGGAAUAUUGAAUUGAUGCAUAAAAAUUCGUAAUCAAGAUAAAUCGAUAUGAGUACGAGAGCUACUCGGGGAAGAGGCCGUGGUCGAGGUCGAGGUAGUACUCAAGCUGGAUCUUCGUCUUCUGAACACAUACCCACUGGAGUAGCACGACCAUCACCGACGGAUG